rnacentral:antisense_RNA from 1 species
AGAAUUAAAUAAAAACAAGAUCAUAUAAAGAGUUUUAGUAUAAAUGAAUUAAGAGCCUAACAAAGAAGCUAUGAGACUUUAACUUUAAAGGAGAAAUUGGUACGACCGAGUGGAUUCGAACCACCGACCCCCACCA